CAACGAUAAAAGAACCCGCGCCCGUGCGGUUUGUUACAAGUCCGGCGCCGAAGACCCCCAGUGAUCCGAUCGAACUUCCAGCGGUUACCGCCACGAAGAAGCAACCAGUCAACCAGUUUGGGUUUCCGGGAAUCCCGUGCCCGGAACCAUCGUAGAUGACGUGAUCACACAUCUUGAACGCAACGAAUUCCACCUGAUUUCCAAGAACGUCCGCCAGGGAACCGUCUCGUCCACCUCAUACAACUGGACGCGGACAAGCUGCAGCAGUACUCGUUGCCCGUGUUGUCGGAAUGGAGCAGGAAUCGGACACUGAAGGGGGGCAGGCCGGCAAGAAAAUCAAUUAAGAAAAAGCCACGGCUGGGGAGUUCAAUUCCGUCCCGCGGGAAGCGGGUUACGCCGGUGAAGAAGACGUCGCUGACGUUUGCCAUUUUCGGCACCAGUAUGAACCGGAUUGGGGAGCAGAAGAUAUGGGGGAGGACCGGAGAAGCAGCAGCUGAGGCGAUGGUGAGUUACAGAUUUACAUAAGAUAAACCCUAGAUUACUGACUUUUCACUUAUUUCAGCAAAACGUCAACCGCAACCCGCUGUCACCCGUUUACCGACGACAAUGACCGCACCGAGAAACCCGCAAACGUGAAACCCCUCAUCAUUUCGCCUUCAAUACCGCGUCCGCUACCUCAAGUCCAGCCCAACAAAGUGAAUCUCCUCUACGAGAGUGUCAUGCAGCAGCGUCCCCUCAAUCCGACGUCCCAGACCGUACCAAGCUGCCCAACGUGACGCUCGGGUUCUCCUCCCUGCCGCGAACGUUCUAUUUUCCCGCUCGAAGGACUUGCUGCCAUGGUAUGAGAGCGACGUCGUCGUUCGGGACCAAAAUGUGCGGCCAAAGACGGUUGUGGACCAGUCGGUUCCGCCGGCCAAGCGACAACCUUCAAGUACUAGUUUGACCAGAACGAUAAUGCGGUGCCGAAUUCCUUCCAACAUCCUCCAUAAGCACCAGUUGUUCCAGAGAUUCUGCACAGCGGGGUUCAGUGUGUGGUUCCCGUUCCCCCCUAACUGGGAUCUCGAACAACCCAAAUCCGGUCAUCAACAGUCAAGUGAAACAAAAAAAAA